rnacentral:lncRNA from 1 species
AAUUAUAUACAUGUACUAAAAACUUGUCACUAUUUUAACUUGUCAAUAUUUUAAAUUUGUAUUUAAAGUUUCCAAAUCAUUUAAAAAUUCUUACAAUUUAUAAAUUUUAUACUACAAAAUUCUCGUCUUUAAAGUGUACAAAUCAGUAUGUUUUAUAAGUAGUACAUUCACAAGGCCGUACAACCAUCACCACCACCUAAUUUUAAGACAUUUUUAUCACUCCCCCAAAAAAACCCCACACUCAUUAACAGUUACACCCCAUUCCACUCUCCUCUACACCCUAUUAUUCUACCAACUGGCUCUAUGGAUUUGCCUAUUGAAGACAUUUUAUAAAAAUGAAACCAGACAAUAUGUGGCCUUUUGUGCCUGGCUUCUUUCACUUAGUGUAAGGUCUUCGAGGUUCAUCUGUGAUGUAGUAUAUGUCAGUUCAUGCCUUUUUACAUCUAAAUAAUACUCCACUGUAUGGAUACACCCCAUUUUGUUUAUACAUUCAUCAGUUAAUGGACAUUGGGUUGUUUCCACUUUUUGGCUAUUCUGAAUAAUGCUGCUAUAAACAUUCAUGUACAGAUUUUUGUGUGGACAUUUGUUUUUAAUAUUUGGGUAAAUGUUAAGGAGUAGAACUGCUGGGUUAUAGGCUAACUAUAUUUAACUUUUGCAGAAAUGCCAAACUGGCUUUCCAAAGAAGCAGUACCAUUUUUCAUUCCCAACAGUAAUGUGUUAGGGUUCCACUAUUUACACAUCCUUGCCAAUACUUUAUUAUUAUUAUUAUUAUUAUGGCCAUCCUAGUGAAUGUGAAGCUGUGAGGUUGUAUUGUGGGUUUGAGUUGAAUUUCUAGUGACUAGUGAUAUUGAGUUUUCUUUUAUGUACUUAUCAUCCAGUUGAAUAUCUUCUUUAGAAAAAUACCUGUUUAGCUGCUUUGCCCAUUUUUUAUUUUUUGAGUUAUUUUUAUUUUUAUUACUGAAUUGUAGGAAUUCUUUACAUAUUCUGUACACUAGUACCUUAUACAUAUGAUUUGCAAAUGGUUUUCUCUCAUUCUGUGGGGUGUUUUCACUUCCUUGAUAAUGUUCAUUGGAGCACAAAGGCUUUCAAGCUUUCAUGUUUGAUGAAAUCUAAAUUAUCUAUUUUUAUAUGUUUGCUUGUGCUUUUGGUGUAAAAUCCAAGAAGCCAUUGUCACAAUGAUUUAUGCCUAUUAUUUUCUUCCGGGAAAUGUAUAGUUUUAGUUUUUACAUUUAGGCCUUUGAUCCAUAUUGAGUGAAUUUUUGUAUAUGGUAUGAGGUAGGGGUUCAACUUCUUUUUUUUUUUUUUUUUUUUUUUUUUUUUUUUGCAAGUGGAUAUCUAGUUUUUCUAGCACCAUUUGCUGAAAAGACUAUUCUUUCUCCAUUGAAUUGUUUUGGCACCACCUUGCUGAAAUUUAAUUGACCAUAAUCAUAAGAAUUAUUUUUAGAUUCUCGACUCUAUUCAGUUGACCUGUAAGUCUAACUUUAUGUCAGUAGCACACUAUUAUUGUGGGUUUACUGCAAGUUUUGAAAUCACGUAUGUGACACCUCCAAUUUGUUCUUAUUCAAGAUUGUUUUGGCAAUGCUAAAUGCCUUGAAAUUUCACAUGAACUUUCAGAUUAGCUUGUCAAUUUUUUCAAAAAGGUAGUUGGGGUUUUGGUAGGGAUUGUGUUGAAUGUAUAGGUAAAUUUGGAGAGUACUGCCAUCUUAACAAUGCUAAGUCUUUCAAUCCAUUAACACAGAGUAUUUAUUUAUUUAUAUCUUCCUUAAUCUCUUUCAAGGUUUUAUUAUUUUCAGCGUAGGUAUCUUCCACUACCUUUAUUAAAUUUAUUCCUAAAUAUUUAAUUCUUUUGAUGCUAUUUUAAAUCGAAUUGUUUUCUUAAUUUCAUUUUCAGUUUACUCAUUGCUAGAGUAUAAAAGUGAAUUGAUUUUUGUAUACUCAUCUUGUAUCUUGAAACACUGCUAGACUAAUUUAUUAUCUGUAAUAGUAUGUGUGAAUUUCUUAGAAUUUCCUGCAUACAAGAUCAUGUCAUCUAUAAAAAGAGGUAGUUUUACUCUUCCUGUUCCUUUCCCUUUAAAAAAUGUAUAUUUUUCUUGCUCAACUGUUGUGGCUAAAACCUCCAGUACGAUGUUGACAAAAGUGAACUUUCUCAUCUCAUCACUGAUCAUAGAGGGGAAAGCUUUCAGUCUUUCACCAUUAAGUAUGAUGUCAGCUUAUAUGUGACAUCUACACAUACCAUUUACAUGGCUGAGGAAGUUCCUGUGUAUUCCAAGUUUGUUGAGGUUUUUUUGUUUUGUUUUAAUUAUGAAAGUGUUUGGGAUUUUGCCAAAUAAUUUUUCUGUGUCAAUGAGAUGAUUAUGUGUGGUUUUUGUCCUUUGUUCUAUUAACAUGAUGCAUUACACUGACUGAUUUUCAGAUGUUAAAACCAACCAUGCAUUCCUGGGAAAAAUCCCAUUUGGUCAUGAUGUAUAAUCCUUUUUAUAUUGUUGGAUUCAGUUUAGUAGUAUUUCACUGAGGAAUUCUGUGGUACAUUCACAAGGAAUAUUGAUCUGAUUGAUCUGUGGCUUUCUUUUC